rnacentral:rRNA from 1 species
ACGCUCGACACCUACGGAGGCAGCAGUGAGGAAUAUUGGUCAAUGGGCGCUAGCCUGAACCAGCCAAGUAGCGUGAAGGAUGAAGGCUCUAUGGGUCGUAAACUUCUUUUAUAUAAGAAUAAAGUGCAGUAUGUAUACUGUUUUGUAUGUAUUAUAUGAAUAAGGAUCGGCUAACUCCGUGCCAGCAGCCGACGGUAAUCUGAGGCGGGCUCGGACGAACGGC